GAAUCCGCUCCCUCGCCAAUGCUUCGUGAAAGAAUAAGACCACGCCCCCUCCCUCUUCUUCACCAUUCGGUCGUGCGGUCUCUCUGAGAUAAACAGUAUUUUCUCUUCCGACCUCCUCGCCUUGAGGGGGGGGGUGCAAGUGGGGAAGAAAGCGUUUCUGAUUGGCUGAUGGGCCGAGACGAAGAAAAGGGAAGAGAGUAUUGGUUCAAAUGGCGCAUACCGUAGUACAGUAUUCGUUAGUCUACAGUAGGCGGGUCCACGUGGAAAGUUGUCUUUUUUCCUCAUUGGCUUAAGGAACGUAAAGUUUAGCAUUCAAUUGGUUGUGAAAGGUGCCCUUCUCGAAGGGGACGACGACAAGCGGGGACAGAAGGAAAAUGUGGACGUAGUGGCAGAAAACAUCCUACAAGUGAUUGAUUUCUCCCUAGUUAAAACUGUUUCAGAUAGCAGGAUGGGGGGGGGGGAGAGAAUCUUCCUGAGAUGCUAAAGAUGACACUGUUAAGUCCUUCGAACAAUGGCGAAUGAUGAAGACACAUCUUGUACUAAACAGCUCUUUAUUUCGUUUUCAGCCAAAACACCAACAACGAGCAAAGGCACGCAGGCCUCUUUUUAUAUGACCAGAUCCCCGGACACAGUGGCAACAAUCAGAGCGCUUUCGCACCUUGCGCAUGCGCACAAAGCUGGCGCCACUCAGUCUGGUCCCGGGCAGCUUCUGGAAUGCGCGGUACCAUUGCAACGUCCCGAGCCUGCUUGUGCAGGCUCGGGACACAACAGACACCAUAGUGUCAGAAAGCGUAGUUCAGGUUUAUACAGUUUCAACUAUUCAAUGGGUCUUACAAUUUAUAUUUUAUUCAAUUUGGUUGUAUCUUACCUGUACAUUGUCAAAAGUCCUUAGCAAUUCUGUAGACCUAUAAAUAAGAAUGUAAAUAAUAAAAAAUAUACUCUAUUUAGUUAUUUUUGUAUAGGUGAUACAGUAAAUGCUUGAUUAAGUCCAGUUUAAACAAAAUGUGUAAUUUUACAUCGAGAAGAAGCAUCAUUGUGAUGAAAAGUAGAUAGUUGGAUUUUUUCCAUGUUUUAUUUUGGAUCAAAACAUUUUUCCUUUUUUUGUAGUCUAAUAAAAUCUGAUGAUAUCUUAUGUAUUAUGUUUCACUGAAUAUAGAAGGAUGCACUUGUAAGGACUUUUUUGUCUAAUGUACUUUUUCUUUUCUGGAUGUUUCCACCAUAUUGAUCUUUUUUAUUCAUCCAAUCAUUGAUAUGCCUAAAGCUUAGUUGUUCCCACUCUAUAGAAUUGGUUGCAGUAAUGUGGCAUGUGUGAACAUUAAGAUAAACAUCCCUUUUGUCUGGAAAGAUAAAUAUUAAGCUCAUUUAAUUUCUGUUUUUGUUAUAUUAACAACAUGAUAUAAUGCUCUCAUAUAA